ACCUGGCUGUCUCAGUUGGUAGAGGAUGUGACUCUUGAUCUCAGGGUUGUGAGUUUGAGCCCCACAUUGGGUG
rnacentral:tRNA from 1 species